rnacentral:lncRNA from 1 species
CAUCCUUGUACUUGGCUGAGUGGCAGAAUAUCACCAAGAACUUCAGUGAGGACAGGCUUUUGAUUGCAGGGACCGCGUCCUCUGACCUGCAACAAAUUGUCAACAUACUUGAAUCCACCAGCGAUCUGCUGCUGACCAGCUCAUACCUGUCACAGCCCGUUUUCACUGGGGAGCAUGCAGAACUCCUAGUGAUUAAGUAUUUGAAUGCCACUGGCAGCCGCUGGUGCAGCUGGAGUGUAAGUAGCAUGCUGGUGGGUUUAAGGGAAGGGGGAAGGUGGUAGAUGUAUGGUGGACAUGCUCAACCUUACGUCUUCCUCCAGGUGUCGCAGGCAGGACUCCUGACAUCCUUUAUACCGGCUCAGUUUCUCCGACUCUACCAGCUGCUGCUCUUCACUCUGCCAGGAACUCCUGUUUUCAGCUAUGGGGAUGAGCUUGGCCUUCAGGCAGUUGCCCUUCCUGGACAGGUACCACUUGUCCUUGCCUAGCCCAGUGUGGGAAACAGUGUAUCACAUUACAGCAUCUGUGAGUGGCGACAGACAGACAGUAACCUUGGGGUGGAACUUUGUCGGUCAUCUUGUGAGCUAUAUGGCAAGUGUGUAUCUUUUAGGCAGGGCUUUCCUGUUGUUAGCCCCAUUUUAUAGCCUGGGCUGGCCUCAGACACCAUGCAGCCCAUUCUGGAAUGGAACUCAACUGGGAAUACUUGCGUUUCUGGGUGCGGGCGGGGUGUGAGGGUAGCUGCAUACACAGGGAUCGGAGUACAGGUUUAUGGAUUAACUUGU